rnacentral:tRNA from 1 species
CCUUUCGUAGCUUAGUGGUUAGAGCACUGGCGCGUGAUGCUAAAUGUCUUGGGUUCGAUUCCCGGCGAGGA